CGCCGAAUAAAACAGGAGAGACACCUUCCCAUUCAAUGACAAUAUGAAGAAACUCCACACACAAAAACGCUGAAAAAGGUUUACCAAUACCACCAACACGAGAGCGAAAAAUACUCAGAUAACAAAUCCACUUCUGUUUCUAAACUGGAACCCUUAAUCUCUGCAAAUGUUUAAUUACUCUUAAAGUCUCUUCAAUUAAGGAAAAAAAUCUGGCACGCAAGCCCAUCCCUGCAGCCCAGGCACCCUGCACAACAGUGACGAGGAGGAGGAGGAACCGGAGGGGUGCCGCGAUCUCGCUCCAGUCCGGGGGGCGUGUUCCCCAAGGUUUUCGUUUCCUUUUUACUGCAACGACAGCUGCAGCGCCACAAGGAGCACUAAGCCACACGGUCCCGGGGCCCCAAGACAUUGUGUGGGGACAGAAAGGAAAGGAGGAUCUGAGGUUUCCAAAGAAUUAGCACAGUUUGGUAUGACAUCGCGUGAAAAUGCACUUUUACAACAUCAGGAGGAGGUUGGAAGUGAGUCAUCAGAUGAUUCAGCUAUGGAUGAUGACCUGGAUCAUGGUCAGGAAAGAAAAAAAAAAGAGAUGGCGCAAGACAUACCCAAGGCCCCAA
rnacentral:lncRNA from 1 species